rnacentral:tRNA from 1 species
AGGUGGUUACGUUAAUACAGACGAUUUGUUUUCAAAACAAAAAGUGCAUUACAUUGCACCACCUG